AGUCCCGUGAGGUACUGUGCGUAGGAAGCUUGUAGCAACGCUGCGAGGCAACGAACAGAAACGUCAUAUGAGGCUUAGUCCGAGGAUGAGCGAGCACAAGAUCGCGAAGUCCAGUGAUUCACCUGGAUAGAGUAAAUGACGUGCUUGUGCAGUGAACGUUAAUGUC
rfam:Bacterium F16 isolate F16 NODE_77_length_2166_cov_4.49926, whole genome shotgun sequence.